rnacentral:rRNA from 1 species
UACGUAGGGGGCAAGCGUUGUCCGGAAUCAUUGGGCGUAAAGCGCGCGUAGGCGGCCCGGUAAGUCCGCUGUGAAAGUCAAAGGCUCAACCUUUGAAUGCCGGUGGAUACUGCCGGGCUAGAGUCCGGGAGAGGGAUGUGGAAUUCCAGGUGUAGCGGUGAAAUGCGUAGAUAUCUGGAGGAACACCGGUGGCGAAGGCGGCAUCCUGGACCGGUAUUGACGCUGAGGCGCGAAAGCCAGGGGAGCAAACGGG